CUCGGGUCACUUUCAACUUGUCAAUGACAUGGCUAUGUAACAAUGACUUUGUGCAAAAUGUUCUGUGCAGGACAUGCGCAAGAGCAACUACGUCAUCAAUCCCAUAAUGCCAUUGUCUACUCUCCACAGAUUUCCGUUGUCCCGGCGGCUGUAGUGGUUCUUGUAUGUGGACAUCAAACUCUCGUUCUUCUCGCGAUCUUUGGGCCGGAAGAUGGAGGACACGGGCAGACUGGCAGGCGUCAGACUGGGGAGGCGAAGGGGUUGUCUCAUCUGAUCAACUGUCGCGACGUUUGUCUUCACUGGAAGUAUCUGAAACCUGAUGUAAAGAGAGAAUGGCCAUCCUCAUGCAGUUUAACGUACCGGUAUGCUGUUCCCCGCGCCUGGGUCAAAAGGCGGAGGCUGAAAAGAAAAAAGAUCAGAAAAUUGAUUUGCCAUCAGAUUUCUUGCUGGAAAACUACUUAAGCAAUUCGAGCAAUGACAUCGGGGUGUUUAACGACUGGCAAGCUAAAGGACGUUUGUAGAUUAGAUUACUAGGCUAAUGACUAGAUUACUGAUUAACAUGUCGAUUUUAGCGUACCAUCAGAUUUUGUCUACCAAAGUGACGUCAUCUCGAUCGCUAGUACUGGGUUUGAGAGUUACAGUAAACCUUGAUGGCUAGUUCCAAACCAAUCAGACCAAAGCUGUGCCUUUGAUAGUUUUGUCAAAGCCGCCACGUUAUGCCACUAGUUUUGUCUCAUGAAUGCCUCAUUGAUAGAGAGUAACGGAACUAGACGACAAAACCCGAAGACUGUC